GAUGAAGAACGCAGCGAAAUGCGAUAAGUAAUGUGAAUUGCAGAAUUCAGUGAAUCAUCGAAUCUUUGAACGCACCUUGCGCCCUUUGGCUAUUCUGAAGGGCAUGCCUGUUUGAGUAUCGUGAACACCUCAACUCUCAUGGUCUGCCAUGAUGAGCUUGGACUUUGGGGGUCUUGCUGGCCUACUGUCAGCUCCUCUCAAAUGAAUCAGCUUACCAGUGUUUGGUGGCAUCACAGGUGUGAUAACUAUCUACGCUUGUGGUUUUCUGCCAGGUAACCUCCAGUGAUGGAGGUUCGCUGGAGCUCACAAAUGUCUCUCCUCAGCGAGGACAGCUUUUUGAACGUUUGAUCUCAAAUCAGGUAGGACUACCCGCUGAACUUAAGCAUAUCAAUAAGCGGAGGA
rnacentral:misc_RNA from 1 species